GGAAAUUAUAUUCUGACUUCAUGGUAUUUGCCAGAAAAAAAAACAUAUUUUCAAAAAAAACCCUCGUCUUCUAACGCUAUAUUCUUCUCCUCCCCCACUGCUUCUGGUUCGAAAAAUUGAAGCUCUUGUUUUGGAUGAAAGCUACAAACGACCCUGGACAAGCAACACGAGAUUUACACCAUAGCACACAGAUCUGAGGGGAAAUCAACCCCAGUGCUAAUUUUCAAGGACGAAGCUAGAAGUUGGAAGAAGUUUCUUUCUUCUUGGCCUUCUGCCACUUUCUAGGUUCCAUAGCUGAGUUUGGAAUAGCGGUCAUCUGAAAAGAAUUUUAGUUACUUAGAAUGAGUACACAGUUCCUGCCGAAUGAGGAAUUAUUUUUGCUAAUUCAGGACAUCAUUCACACACACCAACAACAAACCUCUGUCAUUCUCCAUGAGUUUUUCCAACUGAACAAUGUUGGUAGGCGGUCGAGAGCAAACAAUCCACGAUGUUUAUUUCGUCGUUUAGCCCGCAUCCCCACCCAAGUGAGGCGUUUAAAUAGAUUAGUAGGUGUCUCUGACCGAUCUUGCUUAGAUAAUCUGCGUAUGGAUCGUAAUUGUUUUGGGAGGCUUUGUAUACUUUUUAGAGAACUAGCUGGGUUGGUCGAUGGAGCGUUUGUUAAAGUGGAAGAACAAGUAGCAAUUUUCUUAUGUGUACUGGCACACCAUAAAAAAACAGGAUAGUUAGCUUUGAAUUUUUUCGCUCCAAGCAUACGGUUUCACACUAUGUACAUGUAGUCCUCAAUGCCCUAAUAAAACUUCAUGCUCUGUUUGUUGUGAAGCCUACUCCAGUACCAGAUGAUUGUGUCGACAAUAGGUGGAAAUGGUUUAAGGCACAUACAGUUAGGUUUUUUUCUUGAGCGAAGAAUAUUCUUGCACAUACCCACCUUUAGAAUAGCAUUAAUCCUUACUAUGUGUUGUUUUGUUUGUCUUAUAGAGUUGUUUGGGUGCUUUAGAUGGCACCUACAUCACUGUGCGAGUAGACAUGGUUGACAAACCAAGAUAUCGAACUAGGAAGGGGCAUAUAGCGACAAACACUCUGGCUGCAUGCACUAGAGACAUGUGUUUUACAUAUGUGUUGCCUGGGUGGGAAGGGUCGGUUGGUGAUGCACGAGUCCUACGGGACGCCGUGACAAGCGAAUUUGGACUUAAAGUGCCUAGAGGUAUCACUUCUAAUUUGUUCAAAAUAUUUCUAGAUUUCACCUGUGUUUAUUACAUAUUUCUCCCUAUGCAAGGGUAUACAUUCUACUGACCAUUUGAAAUUUACUCGUAGGUCACUAUUAUCUAUGUGACAAUGGAUAUGCAAAUAGUGAAGGAUUUUUAACACCUUAUAAAUGAGUUAGAUACCACCUAAAAGAAUGGGGUCCAAACACUGAGAGGCCCAAGAAUCCUUGUGAAAUAUUUAACAUGUGGCAUACUAGUGCGAGAAAUGUAUUGAAAGGGCAUUUGCGGUACUUAAAAUGCGUUGGAGCAUUCUCCGUAGCCCAUCAUUCUACCCGAUAAAAAUACAAAUCAGGUUGAUUAUGGCUUGUUUUCUGUUACAUAAUUACAUUCGAGGUGAGAUGAUUGUAGAUCCAAUUGAGGAGUUAGUGGAUAAUAAUGUAGACGACAUUGGAUUGCAAGAAGAUCAUGACAAUUCAGUGUAUGUAGAUGUUAUUGAACCAACGCCUCAAUGGAAUGACCUACGGGAUCAAAUGGCUGCUGAUAUGUGGGAUGAAGUCCCGCGAAGUUCAUGAUGACGAUGAUGCCCCAAAGUGCAUGAGCAUGGUUCUUGUUUUGCUUGGUGUUAUCCUUGGAAAGAUGUUGUAGACUUUGCAUUUUGCCUUUUGUAUUUUAGUUUCUCCUAACUUAUGUACCUAAGUGAUGUUGAUCCACAUACAUUGGACCUAUUGUUGACUGAAUUAGGAGCUUGUUUAUCAUAUUUAUAUUGCUAUUAGUUUUGUUGUCAUAUAUAAGAAUACAGUGGUCAUCUUGGCUUGAAUUAUCAGUUAUGCAGCCCUUUGCAUUUUGCCUUUUGGA